UAGGAGACAGCGGAGGGUGAGAGAAGGAAGGGGAAAGGAAGCAGCAGCAGUGGGCAGGCUUAUCACUGCCCUGGGGUUUGAAGCCGGUUACCAGCACUCAUUUUCCAAAACCAGCCUGCCCAGAUGGCUGUCUGCCCACCUCAGCGGAAAAAGGCGUUGUGGCAUCAGUUCCUGCAGCGGCACUACUGGGGCCACCAGAUGUGCUUCCUGCCAGCUAGAGCUCUCGGCUAAAACCCUCCUCUCCACUCUGCUCUUCACCCCAUGGAGUCCAGAAGGUUCUGCAUGUGAACGUGAGGGACACUGAGGACCAGUCCUGGGUAGCCGAGGAGGUCCAGCACUCGCAAUUCCCUGGUGGCAGAAGGUGGGGCUGUCCUCCAGGGCUCAGAGAAGUCAUGUCCCUGGCAUCUGUGUGUAGCUCAGGCCUGCCCAUCAGCCUGGGGUCGACGCCAGGGCUGUGCAAAGGCUGAGGGCCCCUGGGAUGGGAAGUCCUACAGGAGAUGUUUGUGGGCACCAUCUAAGGAAGAGAUGAGGUCACAACAGAACACACUUGCCUGCCGGGUUCAAUGGAACUCUUGCUAACUCUGUGUGUUUCCCAUGACAUUCAUUCGCCCUCUCUUCCUUCGGAACAGAAUAACCUCAUUCCAACACAGCUGCCCGGGUCUAAGGCUCCAUUCCCUGGGCUCCCUCACAGCUGCGUGGGGCAGGAGGCACAGUGGCCAGGGUUUGCAAGUCCAAGUGCAGUGGGUGACCUUGGGGAUAUCUGCCUAGAGGAAGGUGGCCUUCAGUACCCCCUGACUUCUCCUGCUGGCUGAGAGGAUGGGGUGGUAAGGCACGAGCAGCCAUUGUGGACAGCAGGUGGCACAUGCCGCCCUUCCUCUGCACCUGGUACUUCACCAACCUGCGCCGACAUGUCAAUCAGCCUUGGGAGUGACAAUCUGCUCCCUUCAUCUGUCUUCAGGAAAUCCAGCAGGCAUCCUAAGAAAAGAGAAGUUGCAAGUGCCCUUCUGCAAAGUGACCCGCCCCUGGUGGUGCCAGCCUCUCUCUGGUGUGAGUGGCUCCCCAUGGGCGCGGGAAGUGGGAGUUUGCACCCUCAGAUCUCUCGGUGCAUCAGGAAGGAUCUACCUACUGCUGCCGAGUGCCUUCCACUUUACAAAAUGCCAGUCUCAGCACCCCGGGAGGCAGCCAAUAUACCAGCAGUUGCCCAGAAGUUAGGUUUCAGCCAGGUGCAGGGACCUGUCUGAAGUCACCCAGCCGGGAGCUGCGAGUGGGACCCCAGUUCUGACUCGAAGUUUCAUGCCCCUUCUUGUCUUUCCCCCCGUGUUGGCCUCGCUCCCUUGAUCCCUGCUGGCAGACACCCUCUGCCUCUGAGGACCAGGCAUCAGCAAGAAAGCACCAGAAUGGAGAGAACUGUCCCCCAGGUUUGGUGCAGGGGACAAAUGCAGCUCCCCCUGGAAUCAGAAAGCUGGGAGGGAUGGAUGCUUGCCCUAGGGGCAGGCUAGAGGCACCCCCAGCACAGCCUCCGACCGGGGGCCCCUUGGUGACAGUUGUUAGGGAGCUAUAUCAACAUGGGCAUGUUAGGAUCCUAUAGGAGCAGUGUGCGGUCAGGGUCAUAGGAGGGUGAGAAAGUGGCAUGAGAACUUGGCCACGCCGUGGACCUCAGAGGCCAUCAAGCCCAACCUCUCUGGCCAUCCUUGUAAAAUAUUCACACAGUUGUAAAUGGUUGCAUGACCAGGAGGCAGGAGACCUGGAUCUAGUACUGUCCCUGCAUGCCUGGCCUGGUGUUCGUUUGACUUUGCAAUGCUCUGUCCCUCCCAGCAGGCAUCAAAGAGUGCUAGGCACAGAAGAUGCACUCCAGAAAUGCUGUCUGAACUGCUCCUGGGCUGAGAACAUGGCUCUGUCAGAACCACUUCACCCUCCUGUUUCUCACCCUCCCUCUGUCCCUCCCCCUCCCUCCAUCCCUCCCUGUCCCCACACCGUGCCAUGCCCUAGAUCUGCAGGACCCCCGGCCUGGUGAACCCACCGCAGCGGACCCUCCUCCUCCUGCUAAGCCCGGCCCUCCCGCCUCGCUCUGAGGAUGCGGCUCUGCGGGGGGCACCACCUCUGGCCAUGUACUCGGUGACAAUGUAGAUGGGCUCCUUGGUGACCACUGCGUAGAGUCGGACCAGCCGCUCGUGCUGCAGAGCCUUCAUCACGUUGGCCUCACCCAGGAAGGCUUCUGGAGACAUGGUUCCCUCCUUCAGCGUCUUAAUGGCCACCUUCAUGUUGUUUUUGUAGUAACCUGAGCCCGGGGGAGUGAAGAAGCCAAUCAGAAGACAGAGAGCUUGCUCGGAGGUGAUCCCUUAACCAAAAUCGGGGUAAGUGCCCAGGUGCCACCCCAUUCCAGGUGCCAGAGCUGGAACAUGCAGUUCCGGAGGCCAUGGUUGUGUGGUGCCUACCUUGCGUUCCAGGUCCCUUCUAUAUGGGGCCUCAGGCAGUGGAGGAAUGUACCCUGCCUGGGGGGCAUUUCACCUAUUUGCCCCACACCCUGGGCCUGUGUCCUUCUGUCCUGCACGGAACCUGUGUCCUUCCCCCACCCCUCCCCUACAUAAUGAGUCUCUUCUAUCACACAAUAACUCCUUGGUGGAAAUAAGCACACAGCCUGGGGUACACUGGGCAGGAGGAUGACGCAUGGGGGUCUCCUUCUCUCCUUCUGAAGCCCCAUGGCGAUCCUGUCCCACUCCUUAAACUAUCUGUAUCUCCACACUCUCCCUGUACUCCAUGAAGUCCCCUGAAGGGCAAAAGACAACUCUACUUGCUUUUCUAGAGGACAUGGGCCUUGGCAGGGACCUGGGUACAGCUCCUGCCAAAAGCACCGUGGGCAUCAGCCCCAGGUAAGGGAGCACUCAUGGACCAGCCCCAGGUAAGGGAGGACUCAUGGACCAAUCCAGGGAUAAAACGGAACACGAGUUUUAUAUCCUGGUGGGCGGGGGGGGAAGGGGGCAGGUGUCAGCAGCGAUGGAAAUGUGAGGACACCAGGCCUGGAGCUUCAGUGACUUGGCCAAAGUCCCACGGCUGCCCUCGGUGUGCACUCAGGCUCUGGAACAUCAUGGCUCAUCACGUUUAACCUCCUGUUUCCAUCUGGGUGAUGAAAAGCUAAGGGGAGUUAACGCGCCGCUGCAGCUCAUUGUCAAAGCCAGCUUCAGGCAGAGAACGAAGGAGGGAGCGACUUCGGGGCUGGGUUAAUGUUUUCCCGCAGGCAAGUGGUAGCAGAUGUCAAGGGUUAAGGACAAUUUAGGAGGUAAGAAUUUCCAGGCUGCACUUGUGUCGGGUGCCUCGGGCGAUGAGCCCAGGAGCCCGCUCUCCACGCAGUGACGCUUCCCAAGCUGGUGCUUUAGAGCCCUCACUUGCCUGGCUGCUCUGAGGCCCCGUCCCUGAUGGCUUCUGACAAUUUGGUGUCCUUUGUAAAGACGACCUCAGAUCCUAUCAGCUUCAGUUUCACAAAACCUGGAUCCCCUGCCUCUGUGGUAUGUCUGGACUGCCCUGGGCAGGCAGGGCCUGGCUCUGAGAUGAAGAUUUCUCAGCACUGAAGGACCGCCUGCCUUUGAGCUGUGAAACUAGUCUAUCCUCACAUAGACACCAGUAAACUGAGGCUUGAGAGGCUCAAGGACACCCCGGAGGCCACGAAGGGUAGAACUCACUCCCCUGCUUCCAUCCCUGUCUUGCAUUCACUGCUGUGGCUCGGAGAAGCAGAGGGGUCUUGCUUUGGAGUUGUGUGUGUGUGUGCAUAUGUACGUGUAAGGUGUGUACAUGUGUUGCACACGUGUUCAUUGCAUCUGUGCAUAUGUGCACAUGUAUAUGUGUGCAUGUGUGUGUAUAUGUGCAUGCGUGGACAUGUGUAUGUGUUUGCAUGUGUAUGUGUGCACACAUGCCUGUGUAUGCACAUGUGUGUAUAUGUGUGCAUUUGUGCAUAUGUGCAUGUGUGUUCAUGUGUGCAUGUGUAUGUGCGUGUGGUGGUGAUGAUGGUUGAACAGUCCUGCAGCCCUGGUCCCAUAUGGCCUAUUCCCAGCUUGGACUGGCUUCCUGGGGUGGACAUGGACAGGAAAAGAUGCCAGACUCAUAGAGAACCCCUUCUUCCUCCACACCAGAUUGGGCAGGGGGUGGGGAGGCUUUCACCUUAGCAAUAGGCAAUGGUUGAAAUAUCAUUUCCAGGGUGACAUGACAUGAUGUUUGGGAUUUACUUCGAAAGAACAGGGGUGGAGCGGGAGAUACAGAUGAAACAAGACUGGCUCAGUUGAUAAUUGUUGAAGCUGGCUGUUGGGUACCAGGGGUUCCACUAAACUAUUUUCUCUACUUCUGUGUAUGUUUGAAAUGUCCUGGAACAACAAUAAAACACUUAUGUCAUCUC